ensembl:lncRNA
AGAGCUAUUUUUCAAUGUCAAAAUGUACUAAUAUACUGUUACGGACCAAAAACGUUGUUAGUUAGUGUGCGGUUAACUAGUAGUAGUAGUGCCCAGAAUAGAGCCAGCUGUGUGUAAGGCUCUAAGGGAAAACAGAAUAGAACCAGCUGUGUAUAAGGCUCUAAGGGAAAACAGAAUAGAACCAGCAGUGUAUAAGGCUCUAAGGGAAAACAGAAUAGAACCAGCAGUGUCUAAGGCUCUAAGGGAAAACAGAAUAGAACCAGCAGUGUCUAAGGCUCUAAGGGAAAACAGAAUAGAACCAGCUGUGUGUAAGGCUCUAAGGGAAAACAGAAUAGAACCAGCUGUGUAUAAGGCUCUAAGGGAAAACAGAAUAGAACCAGCAGUGUAUAAGGCUCUAAGGGAAAACAGAAUAGAACCAGCAGUGUCUAAGGCUCUAAGGGAAAACAGAAUAGAACCAGCAGUGUGUAAGGGAAAACAGAAUAGAACCAGCAGUGUCUAAGGGAAAACAGAAUAGAACCAGCAGUGUGUAAGGCUCUAAGGGAAAACAGAAUAGAACCAGCAGUGUAUAAGGCUCUAAGGGAAAACAGAAUAGAACCAGCAGUGUAUAAGGCUCUAAGGGAAAACAGAAUAGAACCAGCAGUGUAUAAGGCUCUAGGGAAAACAGAAUAGAACCAGCUGUGUGUAAGGGAAAACAGAAUAGAACCAGCAGUGUGUAAGGCUCUAAGGGAAAACAGAAUAGAACCAGCUGUGUAUAAGGCUCUAAGGGAAAACAGAAUAGAACCAGCAGUGUAUA